GCUCUAAGGCUGACAAGAAUAAUACAAAGGGCCUGGUAGUCAAAUCAACAGCAGAAGUGACUGACAGGAAAAGAAGCUGGUGGAUGAAUUAGAUGUGAGAUAAGGAUGAUACCUUUUUGUCAUCUGUCGACUACAAUUCUGAUGAAGAAAAAACUUCAA